GGGCUGGUAGCUCAGUGGUAGUAGCGGCAGAUUGCAGUCCUAUGAAUUGCAAAUAUCUGCAGGUCAUGCGUUCGAUCCGCAUUCAGCCCU